GUCAUUUCUUCUGGUUGGAAAUAGGAGGGAUGAGUUCUUCAAUAAUGAUUUGAUAAGCUCCUGAGCAGAAGAAAGAAGUUGUGGCUGGGUUGGAAUUGAUCUCCCAGUAGCACAGAGCUUCUCUGGGAACCGAUACUGAUUGUAUGGGAUUCACGUCAUCGGUACCAUCUGAUUGGAUCAGGUCAGGAAUUGGGGCUUUAAUUUCCUGCACAGUUUAAAGACCAUUCCCUGGCAGAAGGAGUCAAGGGAGAGCAGUGGAAAUGAAAACCGGCCUGGGAGUUUCAGUGAAGACCAUUGAAACCGACUCAUGUUUCUGGCAUGCAGAAAAUGAUACCCUGAGCAGCACAGCAGGUCCCUUCUCUGCCUAGACAUGCUGGAGGGCAGGCUGAACGGCAAUCGUGCCUUUAUCUUCAUUCCCUCACCUAUCAGGGUGGACAAAAGAAGCCGUAUGGAUGCAGAAGAGGCAGGAGGACAGAGAAAGCCCUGCUUUCCAGAAGCCAAAAGGAGCAGGACUGGCUGGUACCAAGGCCUGGUGCCAGGAGCUCUCUUGCCUUUGACUGAGAUGAAAUGCAUUCUGCAUCUGUGGCAGAAAGUUGCCUUUUGCAGAGGUCCCUGCCAUCGGAUUCCGUUCCUGUCGCCAUAAUGCCUUGAGGCCCCAAUCUCCAUUUCUGACAAAUAACCUUCUGAAGGUUCAGUUUCCAAAGAAAAGCCAUUUGGAGAUGAUAGGCAGCUAGAGAGGGUUUUUCCAACUCUGAGGUAGCGUUUGUCCCCUAAGGCUCAGCAAAAGGAUCCAGCCACCUCUGACACACUGGGGAGAAAAUUGCCCAUUCUGGGAGAGUGUUUUCAGUGCAUGAACAGCACUGCAUGUGUGUGUUGAUUACUUUUUCUUGCUUGAUUAUUUCCCCUUAGGACUGAGCGAAAGCCAAAUGGUCAAUUCGGUAUUCACGGCUCUGAGGGCAGCUGUGCUUUUGCUGAAUCCAGACUGAAACUGCUACAGGAAGGAAAAUAUCUGUAGAUUUCCGUUAUUCUUAGAGAUUGGAGCCUUUCUUAGGAAAAUCAGGCUUUCAGUUUGAGAAAUGCUGGCCUAAAGCAAUAACACUAAUA